UUUUGGACAAUGGGCGCAAGCCUGAUCCAGCAAUGCCGCGUGAGUGAAGAAGGCCUUCGGGUUGUAAAGCUCUUUUGUCAGGGAAGAAACGGUGAGCUCUAAUACAGUUUGCUAAUGACGGUACCUGAAGAAUAAGCACCGGCUAACUACGUGCCAGCAGCCGCGGUAACACGUAGGGUGCAAGCGUUAAUCGGAAUUACUGGGCGUAAAGCGUGCGCAGGCGGUUAUGUAAGUCAGAUGUGAAAUCCCCGGGCUCAACCUGGGAAUGGCAUUUGAGACUGCAUGGCUAGAGUGUGUCAGAGGGGGGUAGAAUUCCACGUGUAGCAGUGAAAUGCGUAGAGAUGUGGAGGAAUACCGAUGGCGAAGGCAGCCCCCUGGGAUAACACUGACGCUCAUCACGAA
rnacentral:rRNA from 1 species